rnacentral:tRNA from 1 species
GCGGAUAUGGCGGAAUUGGUAGACGCACAUGCUUCAGGUGCAUGCGGUGGCGACACCGUGGAGGUUCGAGUCCUCUUAUCCGCACAA